rnacentral:rRNA from 1 species
UACGUAGGGAGCAAGCGUUGUUCGGAGUUACUGGGCGUAAAGGGUGUGUAGGCGGCUCUUUAAGUUUGGUGUGAAAUCUCCCGGCUCAACCGGGAGGGUGCGCCGAAUACUGAGGGACUCGAGUGCGGGAGAGGAAAGUGGAAUUCCUGGUGUAGCGGUGAAAUGCGUAGAUAUCAGGAGGAACACCGGUGGUGUAGACGGCUUUCUGGACCGUAACUGACGCUGAGACACGAAAGCGUGGGUAGCAAACAGG